CACUCUCAUUUUUUUCACCAAAGUUUCUUUCUCAUUUUCUCUAACAUAGUAUAAACUCAUCUCAGAAGGAAAAAAAAAAGAAAACAGAAAAGAAAAGGUGCCAUGAAGGGUGGUUUUGUCUGCAUUGUUGUUCUUCUCACUCUUCUUUUUGUUCCGGCAGUCAUGCCUGCAAGGCACAUUGCUCGGCAACACUUGCAUGGUAGCCAUCGUCAUCCAACGCUACCGAGCACAGUAGAAGGGGUGAAGGUGAAACCGAAUAAUAUGAAGGUGGAGAGAAGGCCAUUCCCAGUAAUGAAGCAUAGGAGAGCCGACCCGCUCCAAAUUGCAGGUUCAAGGUUGCCUGAUUGCUCACAUGCUUGUGGAUCAUGCUCACCAUGUCGACUGGUCAUGGUGAGCUUUGUUUGUGCUUCACUUGCAGAGGCUGAGACAUGUCCUAUUGCUUAUAAAUGCAUGUGUAAAAACAAGUCUUAUCCGGUUCCAUGAUCAUUUUCUUUCUUUUCAUUAUUAGUAUUAUUUUUUUUUCUAGUUUUAAUCCUUUUUCUUUGUAAAAUAGUAAUCCUAGUCCUUUGUGUUUCUAGUUUCCUAUUAAAUUUUUGUUUGUACUGUGUAGUAAAGGCUUCCUUUGUGUAAUCAAAGAGUUUCUAGUUUCUUCGA